UACGUAGGGCGCAAGCGUUGUCCGGAAUUAUUGGGCGUAAAGAGCUCGUAGGCGGCUUGUCACGUCGGGUGUGAAAGCCCGGGGCUUAACCCCGGGUCUGCAUUCGAUACGGGCUAGCUAGAGUUCGGUAGGGGAGAUCGGAAUUCCUGGUGUAGCGGUGAAAUGCGCAGAUAUCAGGAGGAACACCGGUGGCGAAGGCGGUUCUCUGGGCCUGUACUGACGCUGAGGAGCGAAAGCGUGGGGAGCGAACAGG
rnacentral:rRNA from 1 species